rnacentral:rRNA from 1 species
AACGAACGCUGGCGGCAUGCCUAACACAUGCAAGUCGAACGAGACCUUCGGGUCUAGUUGCGCACGGGUGCGUAACGCGUGGGAACCUGCCCUUAGGUUCGGAAUAACUCCCCGAAAGGGGUGCUAAUACCGGAUAAUGUCUUCGGACCAAAGAUUUAUCGCCUUUGGGUGGGCCCGCGUUGGAUUAGCUAGUUGGUAGGGUAAAAGCCUACCAAGGCGACGAUCCAUAGCUGGUCUGAGAGGAGGAUCAGCCACACUGGGACUGAGACACGGCCCAGACUCCUACGGGAGGCAGCAGUGGGGAAUAUUGGACAAUGGGCGAAAGCCUGAUCCAGCAAUGCCGCGUGAGUGAUGAAGGCCUUAGGGUUGUAAAGCUCUUUUACCCGGGAUGAUAAUGACAGUACCGGGAGAAUAAGCUCCGGCUAACUCCGUG